AGUGAACGCUGGCGGUAGGCCUAACACAUGCAAGUCGAACGGCAGCACAGUAAGAGCUUGCUCUUACGGGUGGCGAGUGGCGGACGGGUGAGGAAUACAUCGGAAUCUAUUUUUUCGUGGGGGAUAACGUAGGGAAACUUACGCUAAUACCGCAUACGACCUACGGGUGAAAGCAGGGGAUCUUCGGACCUUGCGCGAUUGAAUGAGCCGAUGUCGGAUCAGCUAGUUGGCGGGGUAAAGGCCCACCAAGGCGACGAUCCGUAGCUGGUCUGAGAGGAUGAUCAGCCACACUGGAACUGAGACACGGUCCAGACUCCUACGGGAGGCAGCAGUGGGGAAUAUUGGACAAUGGGCGCAAGCCUGAUCCAGCCAUACCGCGUGGGUGAAGAAGGCCUUCGGGUUGUAAAGCCCUUUUGUUGGGAAAGAAAAGCAGCAGGUUAAUACCCCGCUGUUCUGACGGUACCCAAAGAAUAAGCACCGGCUAACUUCGUG
rnacentral:rRNA from 1 species